GAGUUUGAUCGUGGCUCAGAUUGAACGCUGGCGGCAGGCCUAACACAUGCAAGUCGAGCGGUAGAGAGAAGCUUGCUUCUCUUGAGAGCGGCGGACGGGUGAGUAAUGCCUAGGAAUCUGCCUGGUAGUGGGGGAUAACGCUCGGAAACGGACGCUAAUACCGCAUACGUCCUACGGGAGAAAGCAGGGGACCUUCGGGCCUUGCGCUGUCAGAUGAGCCUAGGUCGGAUUAGCUAGUUGGUGAGGUAAUGGCUCACCAAGGCGACGAUCCGUAACUGGUCUGAGAGGAUGAUCAGUCACACUGGAACUGAGACACGGUCCAGACUCCUACGGGAGGCAGCAGUGGGGAAUAUUGGACAAUGGGCGAAAGCCUGAUCCAGCCAUGCCGCGUGUGUGAAGAAGGUCUUCGGAUUGUAAAGCACUUUAAGUUGGGAGGAAGGGCAGUAAAUUAAUACUUUGCUGUUUUGACGUUACCGACAGAAUAAGCACUGGCUAACUCUGUGCCAG
rnacentral:rRNA from 1 species